rnacentral:rRNA from 1 species
AGAGAGCUUGCUCUCGGGUGACGAGCGGCGGACGGGUGAGUAAUGUCUGGGAAACUGCCUGAUGGAGGGGGAUAACUACUGGAAACGGUAGCUAAUACCGCAUAACGUCGCAAGACCAAAGUGGGGGACCUUCGGGCCUCAUGCCAUCAGAUGUGCCCAGAUGGGAUUAGCUAGUAGGUGGGGUAACGGCUCACCUAGGCGACGAUCCCUAGCUGGUCUGAGAGGAUGACCAGCCACACUGGAACUGAGACACGGUCCAGACUCCUACGGGAGGCAGCAGUGGGGAAUAUUGCACAAUGGGCGCAAGCCUGAUGCAGCCAUGCCGCGUGUGUGAAGAAGGCCUUCGGGUUGUAAAGCACUUUCAGCGGGGAGGAAGGCGAUGAGGUUAAUAACCUUGUCGAUUGACGUUACCCGCAGAAGAAGCACCGGCUAACUCCGUGCCAGCAGCCGCGGUAAUACGGAGGGUGCAAGCGUUAAUCGGAAUUACUGGGCGUAAAGCGCACGCAGGCGGUCUGUCAAGUCGGAUGUGAAAUCCCCGGGCUCAACCUGGGAACUGCAUUCGAAACUGGCAGGCUAGAGUCUUGUAGAGGGGGGUAGAAUUCCAGGUGUAGCGGUGAAAUGCGUAGAGAUCUGGAGGAAUACCGGUGGCGAAGGCGGCCCCCUGGACAAAGACUGACGCUCAGGUGCGAAAGCGUGGGGAGCAAACAGGAUUAGAUACCCUGGUAGUCCACGCCGUAGACGAUGUCGAUUUGGAGGUUGUGCCCUUGAGGCGUGGCUUCCGGAGCUAACGCGUUAAAUCGACCGCCUGGGGAGUACGGCCGCAAGGUUAAAACUCAUAUGAAUUGACGGGGGCCCGCACAAGCGGUGGAGCAUGUGGUUUAAUUCGAUGCAACGCGAAGAACCUUACCUGGUCUUGACAUCCACAGAACUUUCCAGAGAUGGAUUGGUGCCUUCGGGAACUGUGAGACAGGUGCUGCAUGGCUGUCGUCAGCUCGUGUUGUGAAAUGUUGGGGUUAAGUCCCGCAACGAGCGCAACCCUU